GGAGCUUGCUCCACCGAAAGAAAAGGAGUGGCGAACGGGUGAGUAACACGUGGGUAACCUGCCCAUCAGAAGGGGAUAACACUUGGAAACAGGUGCUAAUACCGUAUAACAAUCGAAACCGCAUGGUUUCGGUUUGAAAGGCGCUUUUGCGUCACUGAUGGAUGGACCCGCGGUGCAUUAGCUAGUUGGUGAGGUAACGGCUCACCAAGGCAACGAUGCAUAGCCGACCUGAGAGGGUGAUCGGCCACAUUGGGACUGAGACACGGCCCAAACUCCUACGGGAGGCAGCAGUAGGGAAUCUUCGGCAAUGGACGCAAGUCUGACCGAGCAACGCCGCGUGAGUGAAGAAGGUUUUCGGAUCGUAAAACUCUGUUGUUAGAGAAGAACAAGGAUGAGAGUAGAAUGUUCAUCCCUUGACGGUAUCUAACCAGAAAGCCACGGCUAACUACGUGCCAGCAGCCGCGGUAAUACGUAGGUGGCAAGCGUUGUCCGGAUUUAUUGGGCGUAAAGCGAGCGCAGGCGGUUUCUUAAGUCUGAUGUGAAAGCCCCCGGCUCAACCGGGGAGGGUCAUUGGAAACUGGGAAACUUGAGUGCAGAAGAGGAGAGUGGAAUUCCAUGUGUAGCGGUGAAAUGCGUAGAUAUAUGGAGGAACACCAGUGGCGAAGGCGGCUCUCUG
rnacentral:rRNA from 1 species